rnacentral:lncRNA from 1 species
GUCCCCACCGUGGCUCUUGGUGUCUCCUCUACCAGAAUCCUGCUGCCAGUUCUCAGUGGAGGUGUCCCUCCUCCCCCAACCCAGUGAGGCCGUCAGCCUGAGAGUUGCAAGAAGUUGGCUGUUAGGAGGCUCUCACCAGUGGUGUCCCUGCCAGGAAGCUCAUGGGUUAGCACGUGCAUGAGGCCAUUUGCUGAUGUCACAAUCACUGGGUCCUUGCAGUGUCUCACCACGCUGUGGAGCUGGCAGGUGAAGCCUGGAGUGGUUAGCAGUUCCCACACGUUUCCUCUCGGACCCGCUUCCCCUGCGACUGUAGACCCGCAGGAGCCCAGGACCUCCGGGCUGAAGGAACUGACCGGGCUCACGGGAUGCAGUGGAUGAGAACAAAACUCUGCUCCUGUCGCAGCUUUCAGAACCGCGCCUGCUCACGUCUCAGUCCCGCCUUCACGCUCUGACCUCCCUGGAGGUUCUGAGCCUUCCUCCUCUGAAAAGAGUUCUCAAGGUUGCCGGGCGACCCACGCGCUGGCGUCGGAAGGAGGCUGCUGGGGACUUGCGGCUCUGCUUGGGUUUUGGUCGCUCAUUCCUGCUGCUCUUGCAGCCCACGCCUCCCCUGCGCCCCCUUGUGGUGGGAGGCACUCUGCAGCUCUGAGCUCUGAGCUCAACCGUUCACUGCUCCAGGGGUGCCAUCUGCAAUCAGCCGUGGAGGGAGGGGCUGCUCCUUGGUUUUCUUCUACUUCCUAGCUCAGGGAGACAGGUAAUCUUGCUGAGAGCCUCGUUGGGGAGCGCCACCUUGCUCACAGGCAUUUUGAUCUGUGGUUCAGGGUUUGUCUUGCGUAUUGCAUAUUCAGCCUGGAGAGUGCAAGUUCAAUGGCAUUCCUUUGAGUGUUAGGGCUUCCCUAACACUUGGCAUGAACUGUUAGUAACUUCCUUUUGUGAACAUUUAGUCCAUCAGUGGAGCACACACUCCCUGCUAAGUCAGGGAGUGCCCGGGGUGUGCUGGCCCCUUCAGGAAAUGUAGGAAUAGAAGCCCUUUGUCCAUUUCCACAUUUGUCUUCACAGAGUAUUUUUUCAAACCUAAAAUUGGAGUACUUGGUGGGGCAUUCAUGGUCCUUUGCUUUGAAGUAAAAGAAUAACCAACUAAAUUUGUUUUAGCAGGAAAAAGUGAUUUGUUGUUGUUGUUGACUUAUUUGGAGUCAAGGGCUUGGAGGGUUUGGGGCACAACUGGGUCUCAGAACUCAGUGUUCUGAAGCCCCAGUCUCUCCUUUGCUGUCUUGGCGUCAGUCUCAGGUUCCAUGUGGUGACACAGUGAUGGCAGCAGGGUCACACUGUGUCCUUCUUCAGGUGUAAACCCAGAUGUGAAGACAGCUGUCUCUUUCCCAGA